rnacentral:rRNA from 1 species
AGUGAACGCUGGCGGUAGGCCUAACACAUGCAAGUCGAACGGCAGCACAGUAAGAGCUUGCUCUUACGGGUGGCGAGUGGCGGACGGGUGAGGAAUACAUCGGAAUCUACUUUUUCGUGGGGGAUAACGUAGGGAAACUUACGCUAAUACCGCAUACGACCUACGGGUGAAAGCAGGGGAUCUUCGGACCUUGCGCGAUUGAAUGAGCCGAUGUCGGAUUAGCUAGUUGGCGGGGUAAGGGCCCACCAAGGCGACGAUCCGUAGCUGGUCUGAGAGGAUGAUCAGCCACACUGGAACUGAGACACGGUCCAGACUCCUACGGGAGGCAGCAGUGGGGAAUAUUGGACAAUGGGCGCAAGCCUGAUCCAGCCACACCGCGUGAGUGAAGAAGGCCUUCGGGUUGUAAAGCCCUUUUGUUGGGAAAGAAAAGCAGCAGGUUAAUACCCCGCUGUUCUGACGGUACCCAAAGAAUAAGCACCGGCUAACUUCGUG